rnacentral:rRNA from 1 species
UGCCCUAGUAACGGCGAGUGAAGCGGCAAUAGCUCAAAUUUGAAAUCUGGUCUCCUUUGGGGGCCCGAGUUGUAAUUUGCAGAGGGCGCUUUGGCGUUGACAGCGGUCUAAGUUCCUUGGAACAGGACGUCACAGAGGGUGAGAAUCCCGUACGUGGUCGCCUGUCUUCGCCGUGUAAAGCCCCUUCGACGAGUCGAGUUGUUUGGGAAUGCAGCUCUAAAUGGGAGGUAAAUUUCUUCUAAAGCUAAAUACUGGCCAGAGACCGAUAGCGCACAAGUAGAGUGAUCGAAAGAUGAAAAGCACUUUGGAAAGAGAGUCAAACAGCACGUGAAAUUGUUGAAAGGGAAGCGCUUGCAGCCAGACGUGCCCGUGGUGGUUCUCCUCCGCGGGCAGGCCAGCAUCAGUUCGGGCGGUCGGAUAAAGGCCUCUGUCACGUAUCUACCUUCGGGUUGACCUUAUAGGGGAGGCGUAAUGCGAUCAGCUCGGACUGAGGUCCGCGCAUCUGCUAGGAUGCUGGCGUAAUGGCUGUAAGCGGCCCGUCUUGAAACACGGACCAAGGAGUCUAACAUCUAUGCGAGUGUUUGGGUGUCAAGCCCGGGCGCGCAAUGAAAGUGAACGGAGGUGGGAACCCUUUCUUGGGGUGCACCAUCGACCGAUCCUGAAGUCUUCGGAUGGAUUUGAGUAAGAGCAUAGCUGUUGGGACCCGAAAGAUGGUGAACUAUGCUUGAAUAGGGUGAAGCCAGAGGAAACUCUGGUGGAGGCUCGCAGCGGUUCUGACGUGCAAAUCGAUCGUCAAAUUUGGGCAUAGGGGCGAAAGACUAAUCGAACUAUCUAGUAGCUGG